UGGGGAAUAUUGGACAAUGGGCGCAAGCCUGAUCCAGCCAUGCCGCGUGAGUGAUGAAGGCCCUAGGGUUGUAAAGCUCUUUCACCGGUGAAGAUAAUGACGGUACCGGAAGAAUAAGGACCGGCUAACUACGUGCCAGCAGCCGCGGUAAUACGUAGGGUCCAAGCGUUAAUCGGAAUUACUGGGCGUAAAGCGUGCGCAGGCGGUUGUGCAAGACCGAUGUGAAAUCCCCGAGCUUAACUUGGGAAUUGCAUUGGUGACUGCACGGCUAGAGUGUGUCAGAGGGGGGUAGAAUUCCACGUGUAGCAGUGAAAUGCGUAGAGAUGUGGAGGAAUACCGAUGGCGAAGGCAGCCCCCUGGGAUAACACUGACGCUCAUGCACGAAAGCGUGGGGAGCAAACAGG
rnacentral:rRNA from 1 species